rnacentral:tRNA from 1 species
CGGCAUGUAGCGCAGCCUGGUAGCGCACCGUCAUGGGGUGUCGUGGGUCGGAGGUUCUAAUCCUCUCUCGCCGACCA